rnacentral:lncRNA from 1 species
CUGGUCUCGAACUCCUGACCUCAGGUGAUCCACCUGCCUCGGCCUCCCAAAGUGCUAGGAUCACAGGCGUGAGCCACCAUGCCUGGCUUCAUGUGUUAUUUUUAAAAAUCACGAUUUGCUUAUAACUUCACAAUACUUAAUAAUAUUUAUUUAAAAAUUAAGAUUAUGUGGUUAAUAUGCACACACAAUUCACCCUUUAAAAGUGUAUAGUUGGAUGAGUUUGAACAAAUAGAGAGUUACAUAGCCACCACCACUACUGACAUGCGGAACAUUUCAGCCACCCUGAAAGGUUCCGGGGGCCCUUCUGUAGUCAGUCCCUCCCUCCCACCCCCAAGCAACUGCUAAUCUGUUUUCUGUCCCUACAGUUUUGACUUUUAUAGAAUGCUGUAUAAGUGGAAUCCUACAUUCUGUAGCAUUUUGAGUCUGACUUCUGAGAGUCACCAUGCUGUUGUAUGUAUUAGUAGUUUGUUCCUCGCUAUUUCUGAGUAGUAUUCCUUUGUAUGGAUGCACAAUAAUAUGUUUAUCAUUCACCAGUUAAUGCCAUUGGUGUUGUUUCUAGCAUUCAAAUGGUUGUACCAUUUGACACUGCCACUAGCAACGUAUGAAAGGCUACUAUGAAGAAGGCUGCUAUGAAAAACAAGUUGAACACCUUAAAUAUAUCUAGUCGUGUGUUGCUUAACAAUGGGGAUAUGUUCUGAGAAAUGCAUAAUUAGGCAAUUUUGUCAUUGUGCCAAUAUCAUGGAGUAUACUUACAUAUACUUGGAUGCCACAGCCUACUGCACACCUAGCUAUGUGGUAAUCCCUACUGCUUCCAGGCUACCAACUUGGACAGCAUGUUACUAUACUUAAUACUCUAGGCAGUUAUAACAAAUGGCAUUUGUGUAUCUAAAUAUAUCAAACAUAGAAAAGGUAGGCCGGGUGUGGUGGCUCAUGCCUGUAAUCCCAACACUUUGGGAGGCAGAGGUGGGCAAAUCACCUGAGGUCAGCAGUUCGAGACCAGCCUGGCCAACGUAGUGAAACCCCAUCUCUACUAAAAAUACAAAAAUUAGCCUGGUGUGGUGGUGUGCACCUGGAGUCCCAGCUACUCGGGAGGCUGAGGCACAAGAAUUGCUUGAACCCGGGAGGAGGAGGCUGCAGUGAGCCGAGAUCAUGCCACUGUACUCCAGCCUGGAUGACAGAGUGAAAAAAAAAAAAGAAAAGGUAUAGUAAGAUAUGGUGUUAUAAUCUUAGGAGACCAGCGUUUUACAUGCAGUCUGCCAUUGACUAAAAUGUUGUUAUGCAGCACCUGACUGUACAAUUCUUAUUUGUCAAGUAUACCUCAAUGAAACUGAAAAAAAAUUUAAAAAUAAAAAUGUUCAGAUAAUGUUAACAAAAAGGCAGUUAGGAACACUUGUGUACAGGUCACUGGGUGAAUCUCUUUUAAAUUAUCAUAGGUAAAUACCUAAGUGGUAUGGCUGGUCUGUGUGGUAAAUGUAUAUUUAGCUCAGAAGCUGCUAGACUGUUUUCUAGAGUGGUUGUACCAUUUGACAUUCCCACCAGCAAUGUAUGAAAGUUCCAAUUGCUCCACAUCCUCACUAAACCUAGCUAUUAAGUCUUUUUCAUUUUAACCAUGCUAGUAUGUAUGUAGUGGGGUCUCACUGUGGUUUUAAUUUACAUGUCCCUAACCAUUAAUGGUAUUAAGUCUCUUACCAUGUACUUAUUAGACAUACGUAUAUUUUCUUUGGUGAAGCAACUGUUAAGAUAUUUUCUCCACUAUUUUUUUAAGUUAGGCUGUUUACCUUCCUAUUAUAUAGUUGUAAGAUACACAUUCAGAUUGCAAGUCUUUUAUUAGAGCGUCAGGCAAAUCUUUUCUCCUGGUCUAUGGCUUAUCUUUUCAUUUUCUCAGUGGUUUCUCUCAUAUGGUUUUAAUAGCCCUUUAUAUUUCAUUUUGUCUGACCUAUUCAUUCCUCACCAUUGCCCAUUUUUAUUUUAGCUUGUGGAUCUAUCGCUUUAUAGACAAACUUUAAAAAGUAUCGUGGAGAGAUCAGCUUUUGUUACAUGAGUUGAAAAAUUGUUUCCUCAAUCUGUCAUUUGUCUUGAUUUUGCCCCAGUGGUUUUUUUGGUUGGCUUUAACUACUGGAAUUAAUUCAAUAUUGGUUAUUUAGUAUAUAGUCAUUUUUAGUUUUUUUUUUUUUUACAUUUAAGACAUAUUUUUGUGUUUCUUAAUGAAUAAAUUAUGAAAGAAUGUUAAUUUAAAAUUCAUAAUAUGUAAAAGAAUAUUUAGAUUUCAUUUCCUAUAAUCAGACACGCUGUUGUUUUUACUAUAUAACUGUUAGAAGAUAUAAAUCUAUAACAUAUGCAGCAUAUACAUAAAAAUAAUCACAAUAUUUUUAAAAGUUUCUGUUAAUGUCAUGUAUCUUCUUUUUUUAUCCAAAAGAAAACUUAUUCAAAAAAAUGUACCCAGAAGACACAGCCUAAGGAAUACAAGCAGGAAACUGAGAAACCUGCCAACAACAGCUAAAGGGACACAAACAGGAAAAUCACAGUGCCUUCUGGGUAUAUCAGAACCUACCUGAAAUUCACAAACUCUAAACAAUGAAUGCUCAACUCUGUUGUAUGAAGUAGCCACAAUUACCAACCUUCCUGCACAAAUCAAACAAGAGAUAUCUUAAAAUAGGAAUGAUGCUGAAACUCUACAGCUUUUGUGUGAAACACAUAGAAGAAGAAAGUAAAACAGGACAAACUCCGUGGGCAGGUAACAUUACCUCAGUGUUUAUGGCAUUUUUCUUUUUGGGCCGGUUGAACAUGAUCUUUGUGAUGCCAUCUUCGGAGGUCACCACCAGAGUUUCAAACCCAGUUGAUUUCCUGUCUGUUCCAGGCUCCACCUGACUAGAGGAUUCCAAUGAAGGACUCAAACUGGACACCAAAUCCACAUAGUUCUGCCUGGCAGCUUCCUGAACGGACGAUGACAAACAACCUCAGCCCAUGGUCAAUGAAUAAGCACUUUGAGAAAGUUACUAUACUAAUAACUAACACCUUGCAAUGAAGAAAGAAUAGAAGCACAUCAAGAUCUUGAAGACUCCAUUUACAAUGGCUUAAUGAGAAGCACAAACUUCUUUAGAAGUACAGCAAAUAAAAGCACAGUAACUAGUAAACUCACCUUGGGCAGGCUGCCAAGGGCAUUCCAUGCGUCCCAUUUGGCCUUGUUGAUCAAGUCAAAUACACCUGGUUUGGGCAUGUUACAAGGUCCUUCAGUGGCCUGUGAAAAGGAGAGGGGCAAUAUGUUCAAAUGUCCAUGUAAACUAGACCCCUAAAUAUUUAAGAUCCAUAAAAUCUGUAAGUACAUGAAUGCCUCCCCCAAAUCCUUUCACAGGGUAUGUAAAUUGAUCUGAAUUUUCCCCUCCAGUCUCUUUGAUGUUGUUGCCAAAAAUGCACAAACAGAAAAAAGACUGGAAAUAAAUUAUAACUGCCUGUCUAUGAAAAUAAUGCAGGAUAAAGGUUUUGGGGAAGUAUUUUCUAAAAAAAUCUAAUGGUUCAUUAGUUUUAUAUUGGUAAUCACAUUUUCCACAAACAAUCAAAAUAUUCAAGCAAACAAUCUUUACAAGGAACUAGUCAACAAAUACUUGAAAACCCACAGCAUAUUCCAAAAGCCCAUCUGAAGGUACAAAAAAAAACACCACUAAUUCAGUGGUGGACUUUUGGUACCUGGGUAACAAAACUGUAGCUGAGGGGCUAGGGUGGGGCUAUCAGAGCUACUGGUUCUUAGGAAACCUAACUGAAGAACAUGUAAGUAAAAAGCAAAAAGGAAUUAAAUUUUAUUUUUGAGGCUAGGUGGAGUGGGUGUUUUGAGAUGAAUAAAA